GUGGGUUCAGUGAGACCCGGAAGUUUGCCCCGGAAAAUGAGCCCAAGGUUUCACACCUGUUUUUAAAUGAAAUCGCUUUUUCAUGAAAAGCACAUCUCUGGGACGCCCCGAACUUUCCUGGAUGGUUGUGUGGGAUCCCGCUGGGUCCCCAUGAUUUGCAGUCUAGGAGAGGGGCCUGGGAAUCUGUAUUCUUAAGUAUCCAGGUGAUUCUCCUGAGAGGGAAAUCUGAAGGGAAACCCUGUUUUGUGCUGGGGUCCCAGGAGCCCCAUUUGGAACUAGAGCUUCACAGCCAUCCAGUUCCGGUGUUCCGGUGCAUCACGCUGCCCUCUCGCCCUUUGUGAAUCUGCAGGUGUUUGCGGCUUUGUGCGGAGAAGACGAUGGCACCCCACUUCAGUACUCUUGCCUGGAAAAUCCCAUGGACGGAGGAGCCUGACUCUUCUUCCUAAGCUCCUGUUUAUUAAGCUGACUCUGCUGGGUGCUGAGGAAACAGCCUGGAAUAAGACCCCAGGGAGGAUUUACUCCUCUCUGGCAAGUGG
ensembl:lncRNA